rnacentral:rRNA from 1 species
CAGGACGAACGCUGGCGGCGUGCUUAACACAUGCAAGUCGAGCGGUAAGGCCCUUCGGGGUACACGAGCGGCGAACGGGUGAGUAACACGUGGGUGAUCUGCCUCGUACUCUGGGAUAAGCCUGGGAAACUGGGUCUAAUACCGGAUAUGACCACGAAUCGCAUGGUUUGUGGUGGAAAGAUUUAUCGGUGCGAGAUGGGCCCGCGGCCUAUCAGCUUGUUGGUGGGGUAAUGGCCUACCAAGGCGACGACGGGUAGCCGGCCUGAGAGGGCGACCGGCCACACUGGGACUGAGACACGGCCCAGACUCCUACGGGAGGCAGCAGUGGGGAAUAUUGCACAAUGGGCGGAAGCCUGAUGCAGCGACGCCGCGUGCGGGAUGACGGCCUUCGGGUUGUAAACCGCUUUCGACAGGGACGAAGCGUGAGUGACGGUACCUGUAGAAGAAGCACCGGCCAACUACGUGCCAGCAG